UUUUAGGGGAGCACAAGUAGGGGAGGGGCAGGGAGACAGAGAAUCUGAAGCAGGCUUUACACUGACAGGCUGACGGAAGUGAGCCCACUGUGGGGCUCGACCUCACGAGCCAUGAGAUCAUAACCUGAGCAGAAGUCGCAUGCUCAACCGACUGAGCCACUCACGUGCCCCCUUUACAUUUUAAUUUCUUAACAGAGUACCAUUUGCCUUCUAUAAAAUGGGGUGGGGAAUUAUUACCCAUGCAAAAUGCCCGAAACUGAACCCCCUUCUUGUCAUUUUCCUCGUUUCUAAUUCUUUCUUUACUGUUCUGAAUGAACUGAUGAAUUUGUCAGGUGAGAAGAGGAAGAGAAGAAUUCAUCUUGUUAGCCCCCAGAGGAUUCACAUUCAACUUCUUCACUCAGCCCUUCUGCUGCCCUGGCAGAGUGACAAGUACCGUGAACACCACGUUCGUUGCUUUCUCUCUCCUGCUAUUUCCCCAGUGGCAUUAAUCACAAAAUGGGCAGAAGUCGAAGUUCUCAGCUGACAUAGCAACAUCUGACAGAAUUUCCUUAAUAAUAGAAGGUGGAUGAAAUGUAUAUAGAACGUUGCUGUUCUGAACGUGAUAUUUUAUCAUUAUGUGAUGUGCAUUUUCUUCUACCAGUGAUGGAUGUCCUCCUAAAUAAUAUUCUACCAGAGGCUAAUUAGAAGUUCUACCUCAUCUCCAUCUAAAGACACUUGUGUGGAAAAUGUUAUCUGAAGUCAUUAUACACGUGCAAAUUUUUAAUCUGCUUUUCUGCGUAAUGGUUGAUAGACUUACACAUUUUAAAGGAAUGCAUAAUUUUGAUUCUUUAGAUAUAUUUACAUUGUUUGUGAGCCUGUCAACUGUAUCUCUUUUAUAAAUGAGCUUCAGGAGGCACUGCUGCAGAAUUUCUUCCAACCACUGUCAUUUGAUUCCUGGAUUUCCUAUGAAAUGUCAACACUACUGCUGAUUAUUAAGAAAGCAGAAUAAAUAAGCAUCCAAAAUGGUAUUUUUGCAGUUCCUGAUUUCAAGUACUGAAUAACAAAGUUAAGUUAAAACAAUAAGAUGUUAUGUUGUAACAGAUAUGAGAUAUAAGGUAAGAUGAUUCAUUUCAGCCUCUUCUUUUUAUGGAUGAAGGAACUGAGUUUAUGGCUGGCCCAAGGUUAACAGCUAAGAGGGAAGUCUCCUGCCCAUGUGCAACCAAAUCCUCUAUAAUAUCUUAAAGCAGAAAGCACUUAUUUAUUCACUGCUUGCCAAAGGUUUUGGAUUUCGAAAAACGACCUGGAAAAGUGAACGCUUUGCAAACUCAUAGGAUCUGAAAUGGGGUUGCCCCACUCUCUGACCAUUUCUGCAAUCAGGGUAUGCAAGGCCAGUCAAUGGUCAAAAUUUUGAACUCCUUACAGACUUACAGAAAAUUUGCAAGAAUGGUACCAGGAGUUUCUAGAUGUCCCCGUCCCGGUAUACCGUGUUCUUAACAUAUUAUAUACCGUGAUAUAAUUAUCAUCACCAGGAAAUUAACAUUGAUAUGGUGCCAUGAACUAAAGGCGUCAUUUGAACUUCACUUUGAGACGUUCCACUCCUGUCCUUUUCUAUCGCUGCUGUUCCCAUGAUGCAAUUCAGAAUUCCAUAUUGCAUUUAGCUGUUCUUUCUCUCUGCCCUCCCAUACUCUGCAACAGCUCCUCAGUCUUUCAUUCUCCUUUAUGACCUUGACAGCUUCCAAAGAAUACUGAUUAGUUUAUUUCACCACAUGUCCCGCAAUUGAGGCCUGUCUGGAAUCAUAGGGUUGGAUUGAGGCCAUGCAUCCCCAUCAGAAGCACGACACAAGUGGUUCCUCAUCCUUCUCGGUACAUCAAAUCGCAGCAUUUAUGAUGUCCAAGUUGGUAUCAAUCGCCUGGUCAAGAUGGUCACCUCAGACUUUGCCACUAUAAAGUUACUAUCCCAAUGGCCACAAUGGAACAAUUUGAGCAAAAGGAUAGAUAAUGAUGGUAUUAGAUUGUGACCCAUAAAAUAAAAAAUAUGAGUUAGUGGUGAUAUAAAUAAGUAACUGAUAAAAUAGGUACAGUCAAGUCUUGUUAUUUGCUGUGGUUAAGUUCUAUGACGUCACUGUGUGAAUCUGAGCUAGCUCAUACUGAACCAUUGCUCCUAGGGGAAAUACAGGGUUAGGUUCCUGUAAGCCUUGGGUCAGAACCUCUUUAUCAGCUGCUCCAAACAUAACCUGGUUUUAUUUUUCUGUUUAAAGACUCUAUUUAAUUUCAUUUGUGGAUUCAUUCAUCAACAGUACCAUAACUCAUGCCUGAAGGAAGCUCAUUUAACUACACAUUUUCUCUGUAGGGCACAGAGUUAGGGACACUGGACAGCACACCAGCACUCUGACUGGGGGACAUUUUAAACAAUGAAGCUACCAACAAAAAGCACAAAAAAUGUGAAAAGGGUGGCCUUCGAUUGGUCAGAAAAAGGACACCUCUUUACAGUAGGAGAGCCAAAAGAAAGAGGUAGAAUGUUGCCUUGUUGGACCUCAGUGGGGAAUGUGUGUACUUCAUGAAUCUCAAAGUGUUCACUGCUCUGGACGUGCCCAUGAAGGACCAAGAGAGUGCCAUGAGUACUGAUUUUGAGGUUACAAACAAAUUUCAGCCUGAAGGCGAAUUCUCAAAUUCCUAAUAAUGAGGAUGGACUGUAUAUGGGGGAGAAUUGACCACUCUUCUUGGCAGUAGAACUCUAAAAAAAAUGAACAGACUGAAGGGCACAGCAAAUCGCCAGCCCCACAGGCACCCCCUUCAGUGACCGUUGCUGCAGAUGGACCACCAAGGGAUGCUACAACAGUGGGCAAAUCUUGGAAGAACAAAGGGAUUUGCAUAGUUUCAAAAUAUCUGCCCGAAGACACUUACUACAGGGGGAAAUGCAGUAAAUUUAUAUUCACUUCAAAUUUAAUAUUGCAUUUCUUUAUUUUUCUUAUAUUACAUAGCAUUAGCAGAUGUUGACUCCAAAUACAUAUACAUAGAUGGUACGUGCUCAAGUUCUUCUUUUUUUCUUUUUUGUUUUUUUAUUAGAGAGUGCAAACAGGGGAGUGGCACAGGGGGAGAGAGAGAGAGAAUGAAUCCCAAGCAGGCUCCACACUCAUCAUGGAGCCCAACGUGGGGCUUGAUCCCAUAGCCCUGAGAUCAUGACCUGAGCCGAAAUCAAGAGUCAGACACUCAGCCAUCUGAGCCACCCAGGCACCCCUCAAAUUCUUGAUGAUAAGGGGAUCUCCAAAUUUUUUAUUGUGUUUUCACAUCUGGGUCAUUAGCUAAUAUUUGGUCAAAGCUGUUAAUUUAUGUAAAACUGGAGAAGAGUCACAGAAGCUGCCCCUUCAAGGAGAGAUUUGGGACAUUUAAGGAUCCCUGUGUGAAAUUAUCCCAGGUAGAGACAGAGACAGAGCAUAAGCAGUGGAGGGGCAGAGAGAGAGAGAGGGAGACAGAGAAUCCGAAGCAGACUCCAGGCUCUGAGCUGUCAGCACAGAGCCCAACGUGGGGCUCCAACCCACAAACAGCGAGAUCAUGACCUGAGCCGAAGUUGGACGUUCAAUCAACUGAGCCACCCAGGCGCCCCUAAACCAGGAGCCUUCUUAAUAUAGAGUCCUCAUUUGGGGGAAGUUGGUGAUAUCAGAGGAGGACAUCACUUUGGAAAAUGAGUUAAAAAGAAAGAAAAGAAAGAAAGAAAGAAAAUCGAGAAAGAGGAAUCCCUGAUAUUUUCAGAGGAAGAAAUACCUGAUUGCUGAAAACAGUCCAUAUCCUGAACAGUUUCCUAGAAAUGCAACUGGUUAAUUUUUAUAAGCCAUUCCAUGCAUCAAACAGCAAGUUCUGAUGCUUCCGAUUGCCCAAAGAGUGUCUAAUAACCCCAGCAUUACAUAUGCUCAACAUCAUGUGACCCUGGUUCUGCAAGAAAGAAUAAUCAUGCUGGUCAUACAGUUUAAGAAGACAAAGAAAUGUGUGCUCAUUUUGGAAAACUUAUCAUCUUCUGCAACUCAGUAAGACAGAGACCCCAAUGGAAAAGGGGCCAAGGUACAAGAUCACAAUUCACAGAAAGGAAAAAGUACAAAAAGCUAACAAGAAUAUGAAGAGAUGCUCAAACGCAUUAGUUGCCAGAAAGAUCCACCACGGAAACACGGCCAGGCCAACUUGCUCAGUGAUGAGAAACAAAACUCAUUUACUCACACCGUCCUGGCCGAUCGCCAGACUGUGCUAGACGCAUGUUACAUCAGCCAGCCUGUGGCCCAAGCACCAGGUGAGCGCGAGCCCGGGAGAGAUCAGCUGAGCUGCUCUGCUACCCUAGAUAUGUGAGCAAAACCAAAUUCUGAUGGUUUUCAGCCUCUGGGUUUGGGCAUCCUUCCUCCACAGCAACCGCUAACCGACACAGGACGACUCCCUGAUAAUAGCCCAAUAACUAACAGAAAAAUGUGUCUAUUAUAAAUGAAAGAAUCCAAACAAAAAUAUUAGAAAUGAAAAACACCCAGCACACCUUGACAUUCUGGUUUGUGUUUUGGGAUCUUCUAAGCCAGGGAGCGUGGCAGCCCCUGAGUCUCUGAAUAAGUAGACAAAAUGUAGUUUCUGGACUUGGAACGUGGAGGACCAGACCCCACACGAGUGAUCUUUAGACACUCUGCUUGGGAUUCCCCGCAUGGCUGCAAGGCGACAGCCAUAUGUCUCCCUUACAAAUAAAGUGUCUGAAACUGAAGUUACCAUGUCCCCACCUCCUUCUAGUUUACAUGACAGAGGGUUGUUUUCUCUUAGAAUAUCUUAAUUACUCCUAAAUUGCUGUGCACCUGCUACUGUGAAUUCUAGAACAGUUCCUUUCUUGGGGCACUGUUUUCCACUCUGCUGGUGUAUGUCUCAUCACCCCAGGGAAAGGAAGGAGGGAUGCAGGCAGGCAAAAACACCUGUCACAAGCAAAGCCGGAAAAUACCAGCUUUUAAUUGGGUUCUACGGUGGUUUCUGUGGCCACUUCUGACCCCUGACAUUUUCUCUUUGAGUUUUGUCAUCAGUUUUAUUUGGUUCGGCUUAAUGUUUGCAGCAGGAAGGAGAGUCACAGCCAGACAUGGCCCCUCUUUCCUGUGAAUCACCAGCAUCUGCUACACGGUGGCAGAGUCUCAUUAGUACUGCUUCUGCUGGGCUGGCAGAUCUUUUGAGAGGAGGUACCGGGGGCUCCGGGAUUCUCUCAUGACUCUUGGGGAGGUGCCAGAGGAGGGUUACUGUCUUGGGGAGGCCAUUGUAAAAAUGUGCCUGUCUGUGUCCUGCAAGAAAUGAAAGAAUCCUUUCGUUUGAGCCCAGUUACCAGACUUCUUAGGAUAGCUAUAUUAGAAAAUUAGUCCAAAUUAGGAUUCUGCUCAUAAAACAUCUAGUAAUUUUGGGCAUCUUUUUUGGAAGUUAAAAAUGUUUUCACACUCUUUCUCCUUUUCAGAAAUUAAAGAAUUUGAGCAUCAUGGCAUAAUGGUUUUUGAGAUGGGGCCAGAGUGCCUGGUUUUCAGGUAUACUUGGAUGGCUUCCUGGCUCUGACAUGUGAACUGUAUGCUUUGCGGCACAUGGAGUAGCUUUUCUAAGACGUCGGUUCUUAUCUAUGCGGUGAGAAUGGUAUUAAAUUUGCCAUGAGGAUUAAUUUGUUUAAACGUGUAUAAUUCUUACCAUGCUUGGAGCAUAGAUGUAGAUGGUAAAUGAGUUCUUUUAUGUUUCCUUCUUAUCACCCUUGCUGACUUGUAUUUUUUGUUUGUUUGCUUGAUUUCUUGCUUACAUACAGUAUUUUUUACUCUGUAGAAUAAAGGAAGAGUUUUUUGGAAAAUAAGACGUUUAUACGAAUAUCUGAAACUGUAUUUUUUACCCAAUAAUCUCACUUAGGGGAAUGUGUUCUGUAACAAUGGCCCCAAUUAUUAAAAGUACAAAGGUGUAUAGUCAUAAAGAGAUCCCAUUGUUGCUUCAAUGUCCUUCCUGGUCAUUUUCCUGUUUAUUUUUUUAAAAAGGGCACUUUCCUCACCCUCUCUCUCUUUUUAAUCGUUUGUGCCAUUUGCUACUUAUUCUCAUUAUUGUUUCCAUGCAGGCAGUAAAUUCCUAUCCCUUCAACAAAUCGUUAAAAAAUAGACCAGUAUUAAUUCCCCAUGGGCUCAACAUGAAUCACUUCCUUCUAAAAAAGAUUGUCAAACAGGCUUAUUUCUUCAGGCUGCCGGUUUCCGGGGGAAGCAACACUGGAUUAUAACCCAUCUUAUAUGGUUACAUAUCUAUUGGCAGAUAUUUCAUCAUAAUAAACUAUGCUAGUCCUUCCUAAUAUUUGGAAUGCGAUGGUCUAAGAGCACACUAAGAAAACAGUCAAGAAGGCAUUGGAAGUGAAGAAAAGGGAAAUCAUCUUGACCAGUGAAUUGCUGCUUGUUCAUCCCUAUGCUGGGGUUGUCCAAGGUAUUGCUUUUAUAAAAACAAACAAGAAACCCUGCCAGUAAGCAUUUUAAUCCCCCAUUUCCUGAAAAGGAAACUGAAGCUCCCACAUUUCAGAUGGCUUGCCUGAACACCAAGAAUUUAAACAAAGGGCUGCUUGACUUGAAAAUCCGUGUUCUUUUGUUUGU